UACGUAGGGUGCAAGCGUUGUCCGGAAUUAUUGGGCGUAAAGAGCUCGUAGGCGGUUUGUCGCGUCGAAUGUGAAAACCCGGGGCUCAACCCCGGGCCUGCAUUCGAUACGGGCAGACUAGAGUUCGGCAGGGGAGAACGGAAUUCCCGGUGUAGCGGUGAAAUGCGCAGAUAUCGGGAGGAACACCGGUGGCGAAGGCGGGUCUCUGGGCCGAUACUGACGCUGAGGAGCGAAAGCGUGGGGAGCGAACAGG
rnacentral:rRNA from 1 species